AUUGAACGCUGGCGGCAGGCCUAACACAUGCAAGUCGAACGGUAACAGGAAGAAGCUUGCUUCUUUGCUGACGAGUGGCGGACGGGUGAGUAAUGUCUGGGAAACUGCCUGAUGGAGGGGGAUAACUACUGGAAACGGUAGCUAAUACCGCAUAACGUCGCAAGACCAAAGUGGGGGACCUUCGGGCCUCUUGCCAUCGGAUGUGCCCAGAUGGGAUUAGCUAGUAGGUGGGGUAACGGCUCACCUAGGCGACGAUCCCUAGCUGGUCUGAGAGGAUGACCAGCCACACUGGAACUGAGACACGGUCCAGACUCCUACGGGAGGCAGCAGUGGGGAAUAUUGCACAAUGGGCGCAAGCCUGAUGCAGCCAUGCCGCGUGUAUGAAGAAGGCCUUCGGGUUGUAAAGUACUUUCAGCGGGGAGGAAGGGAGUAAAGUUAAUACCUUUGCUCAUUGACGUUACCCGCAGAAGAAGCACCGGCUAACUCCGUG
rnacentral:rRNA from 1 species